GCAUAUCAAUAAGCGGAGGAAAAGAAACCAACAGGGAUUGCCCCAGUAACGGCGAGUGAAGCGGCAACAGCUCAAAUUUGAAAUCUGGCCCCCCGGCCCGAGUUGUAAUUUGCAGAGGAUGCUUUUGGUGAGGCACCUACCGAGUCCCCUGGAAUGGGGCGCCAUAGAGGGUGAGAGCCCCGUAUGGUAGGACGCCGAACCUCUGUAAAGCUCCUUCGACGAGUCGAGUAGUCUGGGAAUGCUGCUCUAAAUGGGAGGUAAAUCUCUUCUAAAGCUAAAUACCGGCCAGAGACCGAUAGCGCACAAGUAGAGUGAUCGAAAGAUGAAAAGCACUUUGAAAAGAGGGUUAAAAAGUACGUGAAAUUGUUGAAAGGGAAGCGCUUGUGACCAGACUUGCGCCGGGCGGAUCAUCCAGCGUUCUCGCUGGUGCACUCCGCCCGGUUCAGGCCAGCAUCGGUUUUCGCCGGGGGACAAAGGCUUCGGGAACGUGGCUCCUUUCGGGGAGUGUUAUAGCCCGUUGCGUAAUACCCCGGCGGGGACCGACGACCGCGCUUCGGCAAGGAUGCUGGCGUAAUGGUCAUCAGCGACCCGUCUUGAAACACGGACCGAGGAGUCAAGCAUUAGUGCGAGUGUUUGGGUGUAAAACCCGCACGCGUAAUGAAAGUGAACGUAGGUGAGAGCUUCGGCGCAUCAUCGACCGAUCCUGAUGUUUUCGGAAGGAUUUGAGUAGGAGCAUUAACGCUUGGACCCGAAAGAUGGUGAACUAUACUUGAAUAGGGUGAAGCCAGAGGAAACUCUGGUGGAGGCUCGCAGCGGUUCUGACGUGCAAAUCGAUCGUCAAAUUUGAGUAUAGGGGCGAAAGACUAAUCGAACCAUCUAGUAGCUGGUUUCAGCCGAA
rnacentral:rRNA from 1 species